rnacentral:misc_RNA from 1 species
AACGCACAUUGCGCCCAUUAGUAUUCUAGUGGGCAUGCCUAUUCGAGCGUCAUUUCGACCCUGAAGCCCUAGUUGCUUCGCGUUGGGACUCUACUGGCUACCCUGUAGUUCCCUAAUGACAGUGGCGGAGUUCAGGUGUACUCUCAGCGUAGUAAUUUCAUCUCGCUUUUGCAGUAGCCUGGUCGCCGGCCGUAAAACCCCCUAUUUUCUAGUGGUUGACCUCGGAUUAGGUAGGAAUACCCGCUGAACUUAA